UACGUAGGGGGCGAGCGUUGUCCGAAGUUACUGGGCGUAAAGAGCGCGUAGGCGGGUCUUUAAGUGAGUGGUGAAAGGUUCGGGCUCAACCCGGACACUGCCUUUCAUACUGGGGACCUUGAGUGCGGGAGGGGCGAGUGGAAUGGUCGGUGUAGCGGUGAAAUGCGUAGAUAUCGUCUGGAACGCCGAAGGUGAAAACAGCUCGCUGGGGCUGCGCUGACGCUGAGACACGAAAGCCAGGGGAGCGAACGGG
rnacentral:rRNA from 1 species